rnacentral:rRNA from 1 species
CUUCGGUUAAUUUUAGUGGCGGACGGGUGAGUAAUGCGUGGGGACCUGCCCUUCAGCUGGGGAUAACCUUGGGAAACCAAGGCUAAUACCGAAUACGCUCGAGAGAGGAAAGAUUUAUCACUGAAGGAGGGGCCCACGUCGGAUUAGGUAGUUGGUAGGGUAAAGGCCUACCAAGCCAAUGAUCUGUAGCUGGUCUGAGAGGAUGGCCAGCCACACUGGGACUGAGACACGGCCCAG